CUAACCACUGGACUGCCAGGGAAUUCCCACAUGCCAUGUGGGAAGAGAAGAACGCCCAGCAAUAUGAAGACAUGAUUCCGAGAGCACGUUAAUGUCUUUACAUUAGUCUCCACCUGUCCAUCCGCCCUGAUCAGAGGACAGAAGGACCAGAUAGAAUAUCAAAAUCAGGAUCCAAAGAAGGCAUGCACGACGAUGAGUACUAGAAAUUCUGCCACAAGAGGGAGCAAAAAGAUUGGAGCAGGUGUAUCCAUAGACGUGUGAAAAAGCCUCAGAAUCCCUACCGGGGCUGACGGAAGGUAUUUCUCUCCCUAAACCAGAUAGAGAACAUCUAUUAACGUGGGGCUGGUGAGGGACAAGGGCCACAUAAAAACUCUUGCUUCUGGAUCUGAUGUGUGUACACUUGGGCUGAGAAGGGCAGUUCCUGAAAGCCAGUGCCAUUAUCCUCCAGGGAGCAUAGAAGACCCAAGAAGACACCUGAGUUACAUCUCCCCCCUUUCCUUCCCUGUGUCUUCCUAGAGGAGUGGAAAAAUGGCCCCAUGGACUGCAGUUUCUGCCCCGAUGGCCAAGCCCAGGUGCACUUAGUGGAUGGGGCUAGAUGUCUUCCAAAGUUGCUGUUGUUAUUGUUCAGAAAAACACAAAACACUUUGGUCAAGUAUCUUGUUCUUUUAAAUCUAAGUGACUCUCAAGAAAAAAACAAUGUCUGCUUUUGAUUAGUUCACUCUCAUCUCAUUCUAUCAUAAGCAUUAUUUUUGUUUCGCUUGGAAAACCUAAGGAAACUUGUUUUUUCAACUUUUCAGGGGUAGGGAUUUAGGUUUUAUACUGAGAAGUGGCCUUUAAAGAAAACAAAACUCAGCAAAUCCUUGCUUUGGGUCAGUACGAAAGCCACAGACCCAGAACCACUGCAGUAUUUUCAUAUGACAUCAUUAAUGUUCAUUAUGGUCAUCCUACCCAGAAAGGUAAGGCAGUCAAUGCUCCAUUACUGACACCCAAAACGAAGCACUGUAGGUACCUAACUGAAAUAUACAUCUGAUCGACCUGACCACCAAACUGUCUUUUUUGGGUAAUUCCCACUUUUUUUUUUUUUUUUUUUUUUUUUCAGUACG